GCCCGCUCAGAAACUUAAAGGAAUUGACGGGGCCCGGCACAAGCGGUGGAGUAUGUGGUUUAAUUCGAUGCAACGCGAAGAACCUUACCUGGUCUUGACAUCCCGGAGACCCUUAGGAAACUAGGGGGUGCUUCCAUCUGGAAGAAUCUGGAGACAGGUGCUGCAUGGCUGUCGUCAGCCCGUGUCGUGAGAUGUUGGGUUAAGUCCCGCAACGAGCGCAACCCUUGCCUUUAGUUGCCAGCAGUUCGGCUGGGCACUCUAAAGGGACUGCCGGUGUUAAACCGGAGGAAGGUGGGGAUGACGUCAAGUCCUCAUGGCCUUUAUGACCAGGGCUACACACGUACUACAAUGGCCGAUACAAAGGGCAGCGACACUGCGAGGUGAAGCCAAUCCCGUAAAAUCGGUCUCAGUCCGGAUUGGAGUCUGCAACUCGACUCCAUGAAGUUGGAAUCGCUAGUAAUCGUGGAUCAGCAUGCCACGGUGAAUACGUUCCCGGGCCUU
rnacentral:rRNA from 1 species